CGGAGGAUGCAAGCGUUAUCCGGAUUUAUUGGGUUUAAAGGGUGCGCAGGUUGUUUGAUAAGUCAGUGGUGAAAGUCUGUCGCUUAACGGUAGGAUUGCCAUUGAUACUGUUAGACUUGAAUAUGGAUGAGGUAGGCGGAAUGUGUAGUGUAGCGGUGAAAUGCAUAGAUAUUACACAGAACACCGAUUGCGAAGGCAGCUUACUAAUCCAUCAUUGACGCUGAGGCACGAAAGCGUGGGGAGUCAAACA
rnacentral:rRNA from 1 species